GACACCUAGGCAAGUGGUCCUGGGUUGUACAAGAAACAAGGCUGCCGAAGCAGUGGGGAGAAAGCCAGUAAGCUGCACUCAUCUAUAGCCUCUGCUUCAGUUCCUGCCUUCAGGUUCCUGCCCUGACCUCCCUCAGUGAUGGAGCGUGACCUCGAAGUUGUAAGCUGCAAUAAACUCCUCUCCAAGUUGCUUUUGCUUGUGCUAUUAUGCCACACUAGAAACCCGACGAACACAUCCGCACAAAGAGCUUAGGAAGACUCUAGUGCACUGAGAAAUACAGUGGGGAUUAAAAGAACAAGAGAUGCAGGUACAGCACAGAGAAGAAUGCAGUCUUCUGCGAGAGGCCAUCCUCUGCUGGCCAGAUGUGUCUCAACCUUCUGGACUAAAGGAAGGAAGGAGGGAAGGAAGGAAGAAAGAAAGCCUAGCCUUCAAAAAAGAACAACCUCAGAGUAAGAAAGUGAGUCAACUUGGGCUACUGUGGCUAGAUCUCCCGUCAGUCCAUCCUUCCAGUUCUGUGGCUGCCUUGUGGACAGUGCUGCAUUAUAAAUCUGCCUGUCUGUCAGCGCUCUAAGGAGGUGAGAAUGUCCUCAUUUUGGUCAAAUCAUCCUGUCCAGUAAAAUGUUAUAAGAAAG
rnacentral:lncRNA from 1 species